AGACCUACAGAGAGAGAGGCAGGGUCUGAUCCACAGCCUUUGUGGCAGCUGUUGAACAGCUGUUGCCUCUCUCUUUCUCUCUG
rfam:Myotis lucifugus cont2.22191, whole genome shotgun sequence.